AUGGCCGCCUUCACCAAGUUGCAUUCACUUAAUGGGCAUGGCUUUCAGGGUCUGAAUGAAGCUUUGUUGAUGUUUGUGCCCAAUCGGCCGGAUGACUCUACUCCGAAGGACUACCGCCCCAUUGGCCUCACCCAUCUCUUUGCCAAAUUGGUGGUGAAGAUCUUGGCUGCAAGCUUGUCACUGAGAUUGGCUUCCUGGGUUAAGGAGAACCAAUGUGCGUUCCUUAAGAACCACUGCAUACAUGAUAAUUUCAUGUUGGUUCAGCAGACGACAUGCUAA
rnacentral:rRNA from 1 species